AGUGAACGCUGGCGGUAGGCCUAACACAUGCAAGUCGAACGGCAGCACAGUAAGAGCUUGCUCUUACGGGUGGCGAGUGGCGGACGGGUGAGGAAUACAUCGGAAUCUACUUUUUCGUGGGGGAUAACGUAGGGAAACUUACGCUAAUACCGCAUACGACCUACGGGUGAAAGCAGGGGAUCUUCGGACCUUGCGCGAUUGAAUGAGCCGAUGUCGGAUUAGCUAGUUGGCGGGGUAAAGGCCCACCAAGGCGACGAUCCGUAGCUGGUCUGAGAGGAUGAGCAGCCACACUGGAACUGAGACACGGUCCAGACUCCUACGGGAGGCAGCAGUGGGGAAUAUUGGACAAUGGGCGCAAGCCUGAUCCAGCCAUACCGCGUGGGUGAAGAAGGCCUUCGGGUUGUAAAGCCCUUUUGUUGGGAAAGAAAAGCAGCAGGUUAAUACCCCGCUGUUCUGACGGUACCCAAAGAAUAAGCACCGGCUAACUUC
rnacentral:rRNA from 1 species